rnacentral:rRNA from 1 species
UACGUAGGGUGCGAGCGUUGUCCGGAAUUACUGGGCGUAAAGAGCUCGUAGGCGGUGUGUCGCGUCGGAUGUGAAAGCCCGGGGCUUAACUUCGGGUCUGCAUUCGGUACGGGCAUGCUGGAGUUCGGUAGGGGAGACUGGAAUUCCUGGUGUAGCGGUGAAAUGCGCAGAUAUCAGGAGGAACACCGGUGGCGAAGGCGGGUCUCUGGGCCGAUACUGACGCUGAGGAGCGAAAGCGUGGGGAGCGAACAGG